AUGCCAGCGCCAACAGGAGGCUGUUUGGACACACUGAUUACUCACUCACCAGCCUCCCUCUUUUGUCCCCCAGCCCAGGCUGACUCUUGGAGAUUGUGAAUAGCUCCAUCCAGCCCGAGAAACAAGCCGGGUGGCUGAGCCAGGCUGUGCUCGGAGCGCCUGACAGGCCCAACAGACCCAUGCCGCAUCCAGAGACCUCCCCUGGCCGGGGGCAUCUCCUGGCUGUGCUCCUGGCCCUCCUUGGCACCACCUGGGCAGAGGUGUGGCCACCCCAGCUGCAGGAGCAGGCUCCGAUGGCCGGAGCCCUGAACAGGAAGGAGAGUUUCUUGCUCCUCUCCCUGCAUAACCGCCUGCGCAGCUGGGUCCAGCCCCCUGCGGCUGACAUGCGGAGGCUGCUCGUGUGGGCCACCUCAAGCCAGCUGGGCUGUGGGCGGCACCUGUGCUCUGCAGGUCAGGCAGCGAUAGAAGCCUUUGUCUGUGCCUACUCCCCCGGAGGCAACUGGGAAGUCAACGGGAAGAUAAUCAUCCCCUAUAAGAAGGGUGCCUCGUGUUCGCUCUGCACAGCCAGUGUCUCAGGCUGCUUCAAAGCCUGGGACCACGCAGGGGGGCUCUGUGAGGUCCCCAGGAAUCCUUGUCGCAUGAGCUGCCAGAACCAUGGACGUCUCAACAUCAGCACCUGCCACUGCCACUGUCCCCCUGGCUACACGGGCAGAUACUGCCAAGGUCACCUCCCAAACCCCAAUAUGCCUCACUCUACAAUGGGGACCAAACCAAAGACACCGGGCGCGCCAGCAAUCAGAAGCCUUGUGAGGUGCAGCCUGCAGUGUGUGCAUGGCCGGUUCCGGGAGGAGGAGUGCUCAUGCGUCUGUGACGUCGGCUACGGGGGAGCCCAGUGUGCCAGUGAGUCCUGCCCCAGGGCCCCUGAAGAGCCAGCCCCUCCCAAGACCCCCCCUUCAAUGGGGCAUCAGCUCCCAGGAGCCCACUGUGUGCCUCUCUUUCCAACUCAUUCAGUGACAACACGUUGAGAGCUUAAAACUGGCCACAGCAUGGAUAUUUACACCAAAGAAAUUGGCAAAUGCUACAAACCAUAGAUUUUUUUUUUCUUUUGAGAGAGAGCAAGCUCAGUAUUACAACUUACCAGCACACUCCUGACCCUCACCACCCCCUC
rnacentral:sRNA from 1 species